UACAGGGGGGGCAAGCGUUGUUCGGAAUUACUGGGCGUAAAGGGCCAGUAGGCGGCCAACUAAGUCCGACGUGAAAUCCCAAAGCUUAACUUUGGAACUGCGUCGGAUACUGGAUGGCUUGAAUUCGGGAGAGGGAUGCAGAAUUCCAGGUGUAGCGGUGAAAUGCGUAGAUAUCAGGAGGAACACCGGUGGCGAAGGCGGCUUCCUGGACAAAAACUGACGCUGAGGCGCGAAAGCUAGGGGAGCAAACAGG
rnacentral:rRNA from 1 species